rnacentral:rRNA from 1 species
UACGAAGGGGGCUAGCGUUGCUCGGAAUUACUGGGCGUAAAGCGCACGUAGGCGGGUCGUUAAGUCGGGGGUGAAAUCCUGGAGCUCAACUCCAGAACUGUCCUCGAAACUGGCGAUCUUGAGUUCGGGAGAGGUGAGUGGAACUGCGAGUGUAGAGGUGAAAUUCGUAGAUAUUCGCAAGAACACCAGUGGCGAAGGCGGCUCACUGGCCCGAUACUGACGCUGAGGUGCGAAAGCGUGGGGAGCAAACAGG